rnacentral:lncRNA from 1 species
UACCUGACACCACGGUGUUAGAAGUGUUUGCCUCCUGCUGUGUCAUCGUGAAAAUCCGCGCCGGAGCUGACGGACCUCCACCUCUGGGACCUGCAGAUGAAGAGGCUGACCCUCUCCCUCUGCCUCUGCCCUGCGUCAUCACUGAAACUGGUGGUUGUGGCAUGCUAGCUGGAGCUGUCUGCUGGGAUGGUGCCGUGAAAACUGCCUGAGGGCACUCACGAGCCAUGUGUCCCUCCUGGCCGCACCUGUAACAUCCUGUAAUCCCAAAGCGACAAACUCCUCUGUGCGCUUUACCGCACCUACUACACACUGGAACCUCUGAACCUGAACUCAUGCCACUGCCUAAUCCCAGACCUGCUUUAAUC